ACAAAAAACCUAAACCUAUCGCCCGAACUUACGAGCGACAGCUCCUGCCCUCGAGCGAGAACCACUCUCACGUCUGCCCUCGUUCGCCGCCGCUCCAUCCCUUCUCCGCCGCCGCCGCCACCGCCGCCCCCGCCACCUCCCGUCGCGGGCAGGCGGGAGGAGCCCUGUCCGGCCAUGGCAACACCGCCGGCGGCCUCCUCCUCCCCCUCACCUUCUCUCCCUCUCCCAAAGGAGGGAAGGUAAUGGAAGGGAUCUGAUCGGAGCGGUGGAUCUGCGCCCUUGCCGUCUCUUCUUUUCUUCACGGAUUCCAGGAGGAGAUCGAAGUGGGAGGUAGACGAGCAGGAGCGCCGCGUCCGCGACAACGAUGAACGACGACCCAGGUUCUCGUCUCCCAUGGCAGGGGCCGGCGAGUGGCAACAGAUGCGGGACACCAACUGGUGGCGCAACGGACAGCGGGAGAUCGGCUGGUGGCAACGGAUGGCAGGAGGCCGCACGACCGUGCGAGGAGCAGGUAGCUGGAGGAUGUCGCCGGUGGAAAUCUGGCAAGUGGCGGCGACAUAGAGGGCUUAUGGAAUUGAAAUCUGAAGACAUGGUGAUUUUUACCCAAUGGGUUAUGCCCUUGAGCACGAAGAUCUUUUGAACUUUGAGGUUCAGGACCACGCGUGCUUCUCACAUUUAUUGAGAAAGAGAGUAUUAAUCAACAGCGGUUCAAGUUUCUACAAUGAGCUAUACAUCAUCUAAACUCACAUGGAUAUACCAGUGUUUUGUAGUGUGAGGAUAAUAAGGUGAAGUGAGGCUGCUGCUCACCGGUGGCUCGCCGGCCAUCCGAGAGCCGGAAUUGCGGCCCCACGCGAGGGAAAGAUCAGCGUUGCUGCAGCCACCGCAGGACACCCACCAUGCGCGUACCAUACAGGCAGCAGCAGCCUCACUUCACCUUGGAUGACAUGACGAUUAUGAAAUAUUCAGUCAUCCCCCUUGGGUCUACCUGUUAGAAACUUGGACCUACUCAUGUGUUUGAGAUGAUUGUGCAGAAAAGAUGAAAAACGGGAUAAAAUUCUAUGUGAGAGAUGACCGCUAAAGGACUGUACAUGGAGAUUAUCUAUAAGGGUUAUGUCCCGUGCAAGGAGAUUAUCUUAUAGGACAGGCAUAUCAGCCCCCAUUCAGACAUAGCAGAUAUUCAACAGAAGAAGUUCCUCCACUGCUACUGGCCAAACUCUAAGCAAAAAGACCUUCCACUUUCCUUGCUAAUGGUGAGCAACUCAAAGAUGGCUACAAGGUUACACUUAAUAUUUACUCUCUGAAUAACAUAUUAUUUAUUUGACCAAUACAUGUAUAAAUGCCUUGAGAGAACAUGUAUAUAUAGCUGCAUAUAUGUUAUAUCUGAACAAUGGCAGAUUUGACCAUUAAUUACAUGUAUAUACUUGCUAGGAGAGAACGUGUAUAGCUUUCAGUUAAGCUUUUCGAUCAUUAAGCUGUUGCUUUCUCAUCUUAUUUCUAGGUAGAAACAUUAUUGGUGUUCUUUAGCUUAAUUUUGAAACAUGAACACCAUCAUGUCUUCAUCGCCGAAAGUGACGUUCUUUCCCAUUAAUCUGUGCACUCGAAAACUAUUCAAA